UGUCAGGACACUUUCUGCCAUCAUCUCUGUCCUCUUCCCUCCAGCCUUUGUCUCUGUAUUUUGAAUCCGCCUCAGCUUCAUCAAGUCUACGGCAAGAAAUGGAUCAGUUUAUAUCAUUUACUGGACACCAAGAUUCUCCUUUGUGCAAACCUCCACCUCCCCACCCUCAGCCAGAGCUCUACUCAAGCCUCCAUCUUCAUCAUCAUCACCACCAGAGUCUCAGCUGUGGGGGGUCCUGUCCUAAACCCUGGCACUGAUAGGUCACCACAGUCUAAUCGACAAAUACAUUCCUUUCUCUAUCUCAAUAAA